GCCGCCGCCAGCCGCGCACGGGGUAAACAAGCGUCUGCUUUUGCGUAUAUGGACUCUGUGUGGACAGGAGCCAACCCUCCCCUCCAAGCCAAUAGCAGUCUUUCUUCCAUUGAUGUCAAUGAGCUCAGAUCAGAGCACAAGUCUUGUGAGUGAUCAAAGACAGUUCUACAUAAAAAAGACUUCCUUUUCCAGUUUGUGUUUCAGAUAUCUAUUGAAAAAUGGGGAAAAAGCACUUCAAUAACUCCUGGAGAACUGCAGUUGUUUCAGAUGCAACAGUGAAAGAGGACACAUGAAUUUGUGAAGCUGAGAAAAAUUUGACGCAUCCCUGGCACCACUUUGGCAACCCCUACUUUGCGCAGUGACACAACGUUGUUUAUGAACUUCAACAGCUUGGCCAAGAAAAAUUUCUGUUUUUUUCAAUUUUCAGUAACUUUUAAAAUUUUGAUGAGUGUAUAAUAGGUUUUUGAUACUGGAAAAUCCACCUCAGACUGGAGAAUCCCCUUUAUCUUUUUGAAAUAGGAAAAGUCUGUGUCAUAUCUGUGCUUUGUUCCUAGAAUAAUUUUUAGAUUGAAAGGUAGUAUACUACUAUUUUUUACUUGCAUCUAUUUUAAUGAUCACAUAUAUAUGAUACUGCAACAGGUGGGGUUAUUUAUACACAUGGAAAAAGAUGUUAGAUCUGUAAGUUGUUCAAGAUCUUAAAAUAACUUGUGUACUACAGGAAUCCUUUCUGUUAACCUUAGAAAAGGGUGGAGGUGUGGGGAGGAAAUGAACAUAAAGUAAUUUUAUUUCUGUCUCACGAGGCAUGAAUGAAUAACUGUUGUCAUCUAAUCUUUCGAUGUGGGUCCCUGGUCUGCUACUUACAGGCAUUUCACGUUACUUAUUUUCCUGGCUUCCUCAGCUAAGAUGGACAAAGGAAUACUGAACAGAGAAACUUUAUGUUUUCAAAGUGCAAAGGACUUGAGAAGUGUAUAUUUUUUCCAGGUUUUAGGUAUGUGGAAAUUAAUGGAAAUGAUCCUAAGACUAAAGAGCUGUCCUUUAAACUCAAAAGCUUGUAACAUCCUGCAGCGGUGAUGCAACAGUUUGCAAGACUGACUGAAUAGCCAAGUGUAAUUCUGAUCCCUCUCCUUUGCCAGGCUGUGACACUGGCAGAUUUCCAGAAUAAGCCAAUUUCAGAACUGCGGAGCCUCCAAAUACGAUCUUCUGUCAGUCACAGAGAUUUCAGCUCCAGGAAAGGAAAGAUUGAUCUGGCAGAUUAUAAUCACUACUGUACGAGACAGUGAAAGAAGUGAUCUUUCCUAUAGCGGGAUGCCAGCUGCUCUGGGACUAGUCAUCACCUUGAACUGUGCUGGGAAGCGGCAGUGACUUAGCUCAAGUAUCACUAUGUCUCAUCCUGGUCUUGUGAUACAAACCACUGUUUUUUCAAUAGGUGCUACAGCGGCAACUCCCAACCUGUGCUGAAACAAUCAAAAUACUUCAGAGUUUCCAGAGCCAUCCCCAUUCUGGGCUUUCACUUCUCUAAAAAAAGAGAAAUAAACAGUGAAACUGA